GAUGAACGCUGGCGGCGUGCCUAAUACAUGCAAGUCGAGCGAACAGACGAGAAGAUUGCUCCCUUGACGUUAGCGGGGGACGGGCGAGUAACACGUGGAUAAGUAACUAAUAUGACUGGGAUAAUUUCGGGAAAAAGGUGAUACUAAUGGAUAAUAUCAUGAACUGCAUGAUUCAAUGGUGAUUGAUGGAUUUGUUGACUUUUAUAGCUGGUACCGGGCCGCAUUAGCUAGUUGGUAAGGUAACGGCUUACCAAGGCAACGAUGCGUAGCCGACCUGAGAGGGUGAUCGGCCACACGGGAACUGAGACACGGUCCAGACUCCUACGGGAGGCAGCAGUGGGGAAUCUUGCGCAAUGGGCGAAAGCCUGACGGAGCAACGCCGCGUGGGUGAUGAAGGUCUUCGGAUCGUAAAACUCUUUUAUUGGGAAAGAACAGAUGGAGAAGUAACUGUGCACGUCUUGACGGUACCUAAUCAGAAAGCCACGGCUAACUACGUG
rnacentral:rRNA from 1 species